CUCACGUGGUAACAUAGAGAACAUGCAAACUCCACACAUACAGCAACCGAGGGCAGGACUGAACCAGGUGCCUGGGGCUGUGAGG